rnacentral:rRNA from 1 species
GACGAACCGUGCGAACGUUGUUCGGAUUCACUGGGCUUAAAGGGCGCGUAGGCGGACCGCCAAGUCGGGGGUGAAAUACUCCAGCUUAACUGGAGCACUGCCUUCGAUACUGGCGGCCUUGAGUGGGGUAGGGGCGGGCGGAACGUUCCGGUGGAGCGGUGAAAUGCGUAGAUAUCGGAAGGAACGCCGGUGGCGAAAGCGGCCCGCUGGACCCCGUCUGACGCUGAGGCGCGAAAGCCAGGGGAGCGAACGGG